AUACGGGAGGCAGCAGUGAGGAAUAUUGGUCAAUGGGCGCAAGCCUGAACCAGCCAUCCCGCGUGCAGGAAGAAGGCGCUAUGCGUUGUAAACUGCUUUUCCAGGGGGCGAAUAGCUUCUACGUGUAGGGGUAUGACGGUACCCUGGGAAUAAGCAUCGGCUAACUCCGUGCCAGCAGCCGCGGUAAUACGGAGGAUGCGAGCGUUAUCCGGAUUUAUUGGGUUUAAAGGGUGCGUAGGCGGGAUAAUAAGUCAGUGGUGAAAACCUGCAGCUUAACUGUAGAACUGCCAUUGAUACUGUUAUUCUUGAGUGUGGUCAAGGUAGGCGGAAUGUGUAAUGUAGCGGUGAAAUGCUUAGAUAUUACACAGAACACCGAUUGCGAAGGCAGCUUACUGGACCAUUACUGACGCUGAUGCACGAAAGCGUGGGGAGCGAACAGGAUUAGAUACCCCGGU
rnacentral:rRNA from 1 species